rnacentral:rRNA from 1 species
GACGAACGCUGGCGGCGUGCUUAACACAUGCAAGUCGAACGGAGUGGCGAACGGGUGAGUAACACGUGGGUGAUCUGCCUUGCACUUCGGGAUAAGCUUGGGAAAAUGGGUCUAAUAACGGAUAGUGCAAGAUGAGCUCGCGGCCUGUCAGCUUGUUGGUGGGGUAAUGGCCUACAAAGGCGCCGACGGGUCGCCGGCCUGGGAGGGUGUACGGCCACAUGGGGACUCGGAUACGGACCAGACUCCUACGGGAGGCAGCAGUGGGGAAUAUGGCACAAUGGGCGGAAGCCUGAUGCAGCGACGCCGCGUGGGGGAUGAAGGCCUUCGGGUUGUAAACGCCUUUCGACAGGGACGCGGUACCUGUAUAAGAAGCACCGGCUAACUACGUGCCAGCAGCCGCGGUAAUUC